rnacentral:lncRNA from 1 species
GCUGCUAUGGCUGAACUUUUAUUGAGCGUGUUGUCUGUGCAGAGCGCUGUGCACGAGGUGGAAGCAAACGAGGGAGGAAAACAAAGCCACACCCCUGCCCACAGAGGAUGGAACAGAAGGGCCGCUGAGGUCAGGAAGGCAAGGUUGCCACUAGGUGUUACUGUGGGGCCCAGAUGCCGCCAUGCUGUUCACCCUUCAAAGGGUGGCAUCUCAGCCCACGCAGUCCUCCU